GCACCCCAACAAAACGGGUGCCGGGUUUAGCAUCCCAAUCCAUGAAGCGGACACUAGCCGCGUAAGCGGUUUUUUU
rnacentral:sRNA from 1 species